rnacentral:rRNA from 1 species
UACGUAGGGUGCAAGCGUUAAUCGGAAUUACUGGGCGUAAAGCGUGCGCAGGCGGUUGUGUAAGACAGAUGUGAAAUCCCCGGGCUCAACCUGGGAACUGCAUUUGUGACUGCACAGCUGGAGUGCGGCAGAGGGGGAUGGAAUUCCGCGUGUAGCAGUGAAAUGCGUAGAGAUGCGGAGGAACACCGAUGGCGAAGGCAGCCCCCCUGGGCUAACACUGACGCUCAGGCACGAAAGCGUGGGGAGCAAACAGG